CACGUGUGCAACCAACCCCGUACCGGGAGAUAACCCGCGGAAACGUGGACUAACACCCCAUAACACCUUUCCCCCGCAUGGGGGGGAGUUUAAAACCCCGGUGGUACGGGACGGGCACGCGCGACAUUAGGUAGUUGGCGGGGUAACGGCCCACCAAGCCGACGAUGUCUAGGGGUUCUGAGAGGAAGGUCCCCCACACUGGAACUGAGACACGGUCCAGACUCCUACGGGAGGCAGCAGUGAGGAAUAUUGGUCAAUGGGCGAGAGCCUGAACCAGCCAAGUCGCGUGAGGGAAGAAUGGUCUAUGGCCUGUAAACCUCUUUUGUCAAGGAAGAAUAAGCGGCACGAGUGCCACCUUGCCAGUACUUGACGAAUAAGCAUCGGCUAACUCCGUGCCAGCAGCCGCGGUAAUACGGGGGAUGCGAGCGUUAUCCGGAUUUAUUGGGUUUAAAGGGCGCGUAGGCGGGACGGCAAGUCAGCGGUAAAAGACUGCAGCUAAACUGUAGCACGCCGUUGAAACUGUCGACCUGGAGACGAGACGAGGGAGGCGGAACAAGUGAAGUAGCGGGGAAAUGCAUAGAUAUCACUUGGAACCCCGAUAGCGAAGGCAGCUUCCCAGGCUCGAUCUGACGCUGAUGCGCGAGAGCGUGGGUAGCGAACAGGAUUAGAUACCCUGGUAGUCCACGCCGUAAACGAUGCUCACUGGAUCUCGGCGAUACACGGCCAGGGUUCAAGCGAAAGUAUUAAGUGAGCCACCUGGGGAGUACGUCGGCAACGAUGAAACUCAAAGGAAUUGACGGGGGCCCGCACAAGCGGAGGAACAUGUGGUUUAAUUCGAUGAUACGCGAGGAACCUUACCCGGGUUUAAAUGCAGGUUGCAUGAGGUGGAAACACCUCUUUCCCUCGGGACUACCUGCAAGGUGCUGCAUGGUUGUCGUCAGCUCGUGCCGUGAGGUGUCGGGUUAAGUCCCAUAACGAGCGCAACCCCUAUCGCCAGUUGCCAUCGGUUCAAGCCGGGCACUCUGUCGAGACUGCCACCGUAAGGUGCGAGGAAGGCGGGGAUGACGUCAAAUCAGCACGGCCCUUACACCCGGGGCGACACACGUGUUACAAUGGCCGGUACAGAGGGCAGCCACGGGGCGACCCGGAGCGAAUCUCUAAAGCCGGUCGUAGUUCGGACUGGAGUCUGCAACCCGACUCCACGAAGUUGGAUUCGCUAGUAAUCGCGCAUCAGC
rnacentral:rRNA from 1 species